GCAUCCUCCCCGCGGACCUUUUUGGCGACGCAGCGUGUUUGUCUUUGGGGAGAGAGACAACAUGUGAGCUAAUGAUGCACCAACACCGAGCGGGAGCUGUGGCGCUGGCAGCUUUUUCUCCACCGCUCGCUCCUCGCUGGCAGUGCUGGUGGGAACCACAAGCCAAUUAAGGAGGCCUCGUUGCGGUAGACGUGGCGUAAAAGUAGCAUUAGAGCAUCCUGCCCCAGAGACCCGUCAGCCCUGAAUACCCGAGGGCAAGCGCAAGGCAGGUUUGCAAGUUUAAUAAGCCAAGUCCUCCUCGCUCAGGCGUGAAGAUAAUAUUAUGCCAGGCAGGCCCCGGGUGGAGGAGGCAGAGCUGGAGCCUGUGGCUUCCAGGAUUUCAGCCACCUGCUUUGAAUUUCACCACCACGGAGUCAGGCCCACAGCUGAGCCCCGAGUUUUAGGAGGCACAGGAGGCCACGCAACCAAGUCGACCCCGUCCUUCCCGUCCUACAGCUAUUGUUAGAUGCAUCAAGGAAUUUGACCCACUUUGGGAGUUUCUGGUGGUUUUUCACAUUCCAUUUGUCCUUUCUGACUAACAUUUUGCACUCGUGUGUCACAGCCCUGGCUCUGCUCCCUGUGGUGGAUGCUCAGAUUGCUGGAAAAAGAUCCAGCUGCCGUAUCCCACUGUGUUUAGACUUUCUGAGCUCUGAGUGGAUCCAAGGCACCACCCACACUGGGUUUUGAGGCAUCCUCUCCACAUGCCAGCUCCACCUAGCAUCCUCCUUUCUCACCAAGCUUCCCUCCUCCAGCUGGCUAUUUGAAUUCAGACCUUAAAGACUUUGCACGCUUGCUCACACCAAAAAACACGAGCUUUGCAGACUAGGACAUAAUUUUUGCAGAGGCCAAGAACAAGUGGAACCCUAGGUGGGCUUUUGUCUGCAUUUUGGAGCUUGGCUGGUCUCUGCUCACGCUGCAGAGCACAACAGAGUUUAGUGAUCUGGUGAGUAGUGUGUCCUCAGCACAGGGCCAGCUCUUGGGCUCACCUCCUUAAAGGAAUCCUCACAAAUCAGCCAGCUGGCAGAAGGAAAUGGUUUACACACCUUGUCAAGAGCUCAGAGGUGACUUAGGUUUAUCUUCUCCAGCUUUGGCUGAUCCCACAGCUAAACCAGCCCCUUCCCACUACAAAUGCCUCACCAUCUCUUCCUCUGUCUUCUGCACACCUCUGAGGUUUCUCUUUCAUACACCCUCAUAUCGCUUGACUUCUUCAUUCAGCCUUAAUACCUGCGUAUAAUAAUAGCUUAAUAACUUUAUAAUAGCUUCAGCCUGUCUCCUGAGAGGUACAGAAAUAAACCUGCCUUCCCUAGGUGCAGAGACUACGUUAACAGAUCCAUUACUGGUCACAUCACAAUCAUCAGGAUCCUCAGCUCCCAUUGCCCCCUGCUCCAGCCUCUGUGCCUUGGCAUCCUUUUCAGCAAGAUGCUCCACCCAGGCCACAGCAGCAUCCCGUGGAGGAGCUGCAGAGUGUAAAUGUCACGCCAGUGCCUCGGGUACUGCACGAGGCUGGGCAACCAGGUGUGCCCUGCCAGGUGUGGACUGUCAGGCUCCCGCUCUCCCUUCCUGCACCCUGCAAGGCCACGGCCACAAUCUCAGGCAGAACUUGCUCUCUCCCAACAAAACACUCAGGUCUCCACGGGAGCUAAAGGGUUGCGAGUACAGACCAGCCACUCGCUGGGAGCCGCCGGCCAUCUGGAACUACAAGACUGAAGUGAACUGCAAGGCACCACAGUGAACAUGUGCAUGAAACUAUCUGAGGCUGCAAAACAAAGGCACUUGCUGGAAAUUAUUAAAACAGCACAAAAACAUGGAACUCGCCCAAAAUGGAAGGUACAUUGGAAGGGGUAAGAAAUAUCAUAUUGCAAUUAUUGCUGUCAUAGGACAUGACAGCAAGACAGAGCCUACCUAUGAAAGAGCAUUCCCAUAGCGGAGCAAACCCCGUGGCCAGGCCUGGACACUCUGGUGGGGGACAUCCCGGGUGACAGGAUGCAGCAGCAGCAGCCCCCACAGGGCGAGAUAAAGCAGUAGCCUGCAAAUAAACUGAAGGCAGUCACUCAA